rnacentral:lncRNA from 1 species
UAAUUUUUCUGUUGGCAGGUAGAAUUGGAACAUGAAAUUUAAGGAUGCUACCUCUGCUGCUCAAGCAGUGACUGUAGUUUGCAAAACAUGUAAGGACCUAGCUGCCAUAGCUGUUGUAGAACUUUCAAGGCAAUAUUGUGUUGAUGAUGGUGGUUCAUGCCACUUAGGUUUCAAGGAUGAAAGGUUGGAAUGUGGGCAAUCAUUUCCUGGAGAUGGUAAUGGUUAUUUUUCUGUUGGCAGGUAGAAUUGGAACAUGAAAUUUAAGGAUGGUACCUAUGCUGGUCAAGCAGCAGCUAAUUUUGCAGAAUAUACAGGCCUAGCUGCCAGAGAUGUUGUAGAACUUUCAAGGAAAUACUAUGUUGAUGAUGGUGGUUCAUGCCACAUAGUUUUCAAGGAUGAUAGGUUGGAACAUGGGCAAUUAUUUCCUUGAGAUAGUUAUGGAAAUUUUUCUAUUGACAAGCAGUAUUGGAACAUGAAAUGUAAGGAUGCCACCUCU